AUUGAACGCUGGCGGCAUGCUUUACACAUGCAAGUCGAACGGUAACAGGCCUUCGGGUGCUGACGAGUGGCGAACGGGUGAGUAAUGCAUCGGAACGUACCCAGAGGUGGGGGAUAACGCAGCGAAAGCUGUGCUAAUACCGCAUGUGAUCUGAGGAUGAAAGCGGGGGACCGAGCAGCAAUGUUUGGCCUCGCGCCUUUGGAGCGGCCGAUGUCGGAUUAGCUAGUUGGUGGGGUAAAGGCCCACCAAGGCGACGAUCCGUAGCUGGUCUGAGAGGACGACCAGCCACACUGGGCCUGAGACACGGCCCAGACUCCUACGGGAGGCAGCAGUGGGGAAUUUUGGACAAUGGGCGCAAGCCUGAUCCAGCAAUGCCGCGUGCGGGAAGAAGGCCUUCGGGUUGUAAACCGCUUUUGGCAGGAACGAAACGGUGUCCGCUAAUACCGGGCGCUAAUGACGGUACCUGCAGAAUAAGCACCGGCUAACUACGU
rnacentral:rRNA from 1 species